AUUGAACGCUGGCGGAAUGCUUUACACAUGCAAGUCGAACGGCAGCACGGGGGCAACCCUGGUGGCGAGUGGCGAACGGGUGAGUAAUACAUCGGAACGUGCCCAGUCGUGGGGGAUAACGUAGCGAAAGCUACGCUAAUACCGCAUACGAUCUCUGGAUGAAAGCGGGGGGACCGCAAGGCCUCGCGCGAUUGGAGCGGCCGAUGGCAGAUUAGGUAGUUGGUGGGGUAAAGGCUCACCAAGCCGACGAUCUGUAGCUGGUCUGAGAGGACGACCAGCCACACUGGGACUGAGACACGGCCCAGACUCCUACGGGAGGCAGCAGUGGGGAAUUUGGACAAUGGGCGAAAGCCUGAUCCAGCCAUUCCGCGUGCAGGAUGAAGGCCCUCGGGUUGUAAACUGCUUUUGUACGGAACGAAACGGCUCUGGUUAAUAUCUGGGGCUAAUGACGGUACCGUAAGAAUAAGCACCGGCUAACUACGUGCCAGCAGCCGCGGUAAU
rnacentral:rRNA from 1 species